AUUGAACGCUGGCGGCAGGCCUAACACAUGCAAGUCGAACGGUAACAGGAGGAAGCUUGCUUCUUUGCUGACGAGUGGCGGACGGGUGAGUAAUGUCUGGGAAACUGCCUGAUGGAGGGGGAUAACUACUGGAAACGGUAGCUAAUACCGCAUAACGUCGCAAGACCAAAGAGGGGGACCUUCGGGCCUCUUGCCAUCGGAUGUGCCCAGAUGGGAUUAGCUAGUAGGUGGGGUAACGGCUCACCUAGGCGACGUUCCCUAGCUGGUCUGAGAGGAUGACCAGCCACACUGGAACUGAGACACGGUCCAGACUCCUACGGGAGGCAGCAGUGGGGAAUAUUGCACAAUGGGCGCAAGCCUGAUGCAGCCAUGCCGCGUGUAUGAAGAAGGCCUUCGGGUUGUAAAGUACUUUCAGCGGGGAGGAAGGGAGUAAAGUUAAUACCUUUGCUCAUUGACGUUACCCGCAGAAGAAGCACCGGCUAACUCCGUG
rnacentral:rRNA from 1 species